AUUUAAUGCGAUUGUCUUCUUGUAAUCAAGAGUGCUAUUGAAUGAGAUGUCCUAGCUUAAUGUGAAAUUGUUUUCAACUGAAUGUUACCUCCUUUUUUCUAAUUGACACAACUCACCAUUGAAUGAGAUGGUGUAGUGAGUGACUGCUUACACUUCAAUGAGAUGGCCCGGUAAGUGAGGCUUUUUGUACAUGAAUAAGAUGGCCUAGUACGUGAGGCUUCUGACCAUAGAAUGAGAUGGCCUGGUAAGUGAGACCUCUUCUGCUUGAAUGAAAUAGCUGGGCAUUUGAGACUGGUCCAUGUUUAUUAAAAUGGCUCUGUUAGGGAGACCGCACAUGGUUUAAUGAGAUGGCUUGGUAAGUGACUGCUCACGUUUGAAUGAGACGCCUUGAUGAGUGGAACUGCUUACAUGUCAACGAGAUGGCCAAUAAAUUAGACUGCUCAUGCUUGAAUAAGAUGGCCUGAUGAGACUGCUUACAUUUCAAUGAGGUGACCCGUUAAGUGGGACUGCUCACUGUGGAUUAAGAUCUCCAGAUCAUUGAGGUUGUGGACCCCUGAAUAACAUUACCUUGUUGGAAAUUAAGUAACCUUUUAUUAGUGGUUUUCCCCUUGUAUUAGCCACAGAUUGGGUUACAUACUGUUUCUCGUGAUAGAUUUUUUUGUGGCUUCAUAUCAAGGACACAUUCUUUGCUCAUUAGUUACGGGAAUCUCUUUUCAAUAUAGUUGUUGCUUUAUCAUUGAUGUGUAGCUACCCAGAUUACACAGAGCACCACAUUGGCAGCCGUGGGAUUUUCAUCUCUCUCAAUCUCUUGACACUGUCUAGCAUUACAAGAAGCAGUGACAGCUGAUCUAUUCCCUCGCCCUUCUGCUUGCUUCAUCGUCACCAAGAGCGAGAUAUGAAACUGCACGUCCGCAUGAAUGAGCCAGGCUUAGAAUGUUCCACGUUCACCAUCAAAUUCCUUCAUCUGGCCUUGUUUGCUCCCUUUUCUUGUCUAUAAUUGCUGUUAGAGACACUCAGAUUAAAAUAUCACAUUAACACAUUUCAUUCCAAGGGAUUGUAUAACCUGAUGAAAUGUUUACCUUGACCCUGUAGGAUACCUUUUCAUCUCACAGUAGCAAUUGUACCUUCAAUCUGUUGUUCCGUUACUGAAAUAUAUGAGUUUCAUUAUCUUGCUUGAGAAGAAACCUAAUGCUGAGACUUUAAUGGAUAUUGUUUCUCAAGGGAUACAACAUCCUAAUGUUAUUUCCCAUAUUUUUGGCUUUAGUCAUGGGAAAGUCCACUUCUUUAAUUCGGGCCACGGUCCAUCUAUUUAUUGUAACGAAAUCUUAAAGAAAUAGAAAUGAAUGCUAAUCAUAUGUAGUUCUAUACUCUUUAGAGGUGGACCAUCCAUCCAUACCCUCAACAUGUUGCUUUCUGGUUGUGGACCUACACGUCCCACUAUGUUUAUAUGUGUUUGUGGAACAUCAGAACUUAGUGUUUACAAUUGCAUUAAUGGUUUUUCAGAAGAACAAGGAAAGGAAAUGUAUUUGAGUCCGGAGUUCUCUGCAUAGCCUGGCCAAGCUCCGUGGAAAGUAUAGUUAAUGGCAGCUACGAGGAACCUGCUAAUCACCCCUGCUCUACAUUAAUUAACUUAGCAUUAAAAAGGCAAAAAAAAACACCCUGCUGAUUCCAGUGGUUGCCACGGUUAUUGAUCCGCAUUUAGAACAUGUGCUAUUAGUGAACCUUUUAAUAUUCUCAAUUGAUUGGUGCUAUUCCAGAGCAUGUAAGAUUUCAUAGAAGUUUGAAUGUCUGGUUACUAUAGAACCUAAAGCUAUUUGUAAAAACAAAUAUGUAGUUACAUAUAAAUAUAUCUUAUUAAACAUCUCAUACAUGUAGAGUAAACAACUAUUACAGACCCAGUGUGAGUUGAUCGCGUCUUAAUUAAAAGCUGAAAUACGCUUGGGGUUAAUGGAUUGUUAUACCAUGUGUUUAUUUUUAAUUA
rnacentral:lncRNA from 1 species